UACGUAGGGGGCAAGCGUUGUCCGGAUUUAUUGGGCGUAAAGAGCGUGUAGGCGGCCAGGUAGAUGGGUUGUGAAAACUGGAGGCUCAACCUUCAGACGUCGACCCAAACCCCCUGGCUAGAGUCCGGAAGAGGAGAGUGGAAUUCCUGGUGUAGCGGUGAAAUGCGCAGAUAUCAGGAAGAACACCUAUGGCGAAGGCAGCUCUCUGGGACGGUACUGACGCUGAGACGCGAAAGCGUGGGGAGCGAACAGG
rnacentral:rRNA from 1 species